rnacentral:rRNA from 1 species
CACGCCGUAAACGAUGGAUACUAGGUGUGGGGCCCGAUAGGGUUCCGUGCCGAAGCAAACGCAUUAAGUAUCCCGCCUGGGGAGUACGAUCGCAAGGUUGAAACUCAAAGGAAUUGACGGGGGCCCGCACAAGCAGCGGAGCAUGUGGUUUAAUUCGAAGCAACGCGAAGAACCUUACCAAGGCUUGACAUCCUCUGACGCACAUAGAGAUAUGUGUUCCCUUCGGGGCAGAGAGACAGGUGG